rnacentral:rRNA from 1 species
GUGGACGCCAGUCUGCGUGGAGCCGACCUUGAAAUACCACCCUUUAAUGUUUGAUGUUCUAACGUGGACCCGUAAUCCGGGUUGCGGACAGUGUCUGGUGGGUAGUUUGACUGGGGCGGUCUCCUCCUAAAGAGUAACGGAGGAGCACGAAGGUUGGCUAAUCCUGGUCGGACAUCAGGAGGUUAGUGCAAUGGCAUAAGCCAGCUUGACUGCGAGCGUGACGGCGCGAGCAGGUGCGAAAGCAGGUCAUAGUGAUCCGGUGGUUCUGAAUGGAAGGGCCAUCGCUCAACGGAUAAAAGGUACUCCGGGGAUAACAGGCUGAUACCGCCCAAGAGUUCAUAUCGACGGCGGUGUUUGGCACCUCGAUGUCGGCUCAUCACAUCCUGGGGCUGAAGUAGGUCCCAAGGGUAUGGCUGUUCGCCAUUUAAAGUGGUACGCGAGCUGGGUUUAGAACGUCGUGAGACAGUUCGGUCCCUAUCUGCCGUGGGCGCUGGAGAACUGAGGGGGGCUGCUCCUAGUACGAGAGGACCGGAGUGGACGCAUCACUGGUGUUCGGGUUGUCAUGCCAAUGGCACUGCCCGGUAGCUAAAUGCGGAAGAGAUAAGUGCUGAAAGCAUCUAAGCACGAAACUUGCCCCGAGAUGAGUUCUCCCUGAGACUUAGAGUCUCCUGAAGGAACGUUGAAGACGACGACGUUGAUAGGCCGGGUGUGUAAGCGCAGCGAUGCGUUGAGCUAACCGGUACUAAUGAACCGUGAGGCUUAACCUUACAA